rnacentral:rRNA from 1 species
UACGGGGGGGGCAAGCGUUGUUCGGAAUUACUGGGCGUAAAGGGCUCGUAGGUGGCCAACUAAGUCAUACGUGAAAUCCCUCGGCUUAACCGGGGAACUGCGUCUGAUACUGGAUGGCUUGAGGUUGGGAGAGGGAUGCGGAAUUCCACGGUGUAGCGGUGAAAUGCGUAGAUAUGUGGAAGAACACCGGUGGCGAAGGCGAUUUCUAGAUUAUUCCUGAC